UUGAAGAGUUUGAUCAUGGCUCAGAUUGAACGCUGGCGGCAGGCCUAACACAUGCAAGUCGAACGGUAGCACAGAGAGCUUGCUCUCGGGUGACGAGUGGCGGACGGGUGAGUAAUGUCUGGGAAACUGCCUGAUGGAGGGGGAUAACUACUGGAAACGGUAGCUAAUACCGCAUAACGUCGCAAGACCAAAGAGGGGGACCUUCGGGCCUCUUGCCAUCAGAUGUGCCCAGAUGGGAUUAGCUAGUAGGUGGGGUAACGGCUCACCUAGGCGACGAUCCCUAGCUGGUCUGAGAGGAUGACCAGCCACACUGGAACUGAGACACGGUCCAGACUCCUACGGGAGGCAGCAGUGGGGAAUAUUGCACAAUGGGCGCAAGCCUGAUGCAGCCAUGCCGCGUGUAUGAAGAAGGCCUUCGGGUUGUAAAGUACUUUCAGCGGGGAGGAAGGUGUUGUGGUUAAUAACCGCAGCAAUUGACGUUACCCGCAGAAGAAGCACCGGCUAACUCCGUGCCAGCAGCCGCGGUAAUACGGAGGGUGCAAGCGUUAAUCGGAAUUACUGGGCGUAAAGCGCACGCAGGCGGUCUGUCAAGUCGGAUGUGAAAUCCCCGGGCUCAACCUGGGAACUGCAUUCGAAACUGGCAGGCUAGAGUCUUGUAGAGGGGGUAGAAUUCCAGGUGUAGCGGUGAAAUGCGUAGAGAUCUGGAGGAAUACCGGUGGCGAAGGCGGCCCCCUGGACAAAGACUGACGCUCAGGUGCGAAAGCGUGGGGAGCAAACAGGAUUAGAUACCCUGGUAGUCCACGCCGUAAACGAUGUCGACUUGGAGGUUGUGCCCUUGAGGCGUGGCUUCCGGAGCUAACGCGUUAAGUCGACCGCCUGGGGAGUACGGCCGCAAGGUUAAAACUCAAAUGAAUUGACGGGGGCCCGCACAAGCGGUGGAGCAUGUGGUUUAAUUCGAUGCAACGCGAAGAACCUUACCUACUCUUGACAUCCAGAGAACUUUCCAGAGAUGGAUUGGUGCCUUCGGGAACUCUGAGACAGGUGCUGCAUGGCUGUCGUCAGCUCGUGUUGUGAAAUGUUGGGUUAAGUCCCGCAACGAGCGCAACCCUUAUCCUUUGUUGCCAGCGGUUAGGCCGGGAACUCAAAGGAGACUGCCAGUGAUAAACUGGAGGAAGGUGGGGAUGACGUCAAGUCAUCAUGGCCCUUACGAGUAGGGCUACACACGUGCUACAAUGGCGCAUACAAAGAGAAGCGACCUCGCGAGAGCAAGCGGACCUCAUAAAGUGCGUCGUAGUCCGGAUUGGAGUCUGCAACUCGACUCCAUGAAGUCGGAAUCGCUAGUAAUCGUAGAUCAGAAUGCUACGGUGAAUACGUUCCCGGGCCUUGUACACACCGCCCGUCACACCAUGGGAGUGGGUUGCAAAAGAAGUAGGUAGCUUAACCUUCGGGAGGGCGCUUACCACUUUGUGAUUCAUGACUGGGGUGAAGUCGUAACAAGGUAACCGUAGGGGAACCUGCGGUUGGAUCACCUCCUU
rnacentral:rRNA from 1 species